UACGGAGGAUCCAAGCGUUAUCCGGAUUUAUUGGGUUUAAAGGGUGCGUAGGCGGCCUGUUAAGUCAGGGGUGAAAGACGGUAGCUCAACUAUCGCAGUCGCCUUGAUACUGAUGGGCUUGAAUACACUAGAGGUAGGCGGAAUGUGACAAGUAGCGGUGAAAUGCAUAGAUAUGUCACAGAACACCGAUUGCGAAGGCAGCUUACUAUGGUGUCAUUGACGCUGAGGCACGAAAGCGUGGGGGAUCAAACAGG
rnacentral:rRNA from 1 species